CGCCUCCAUUCCUCCCUGGGGACUCCGACCACAUCCUGGCUCAGCUGGGAGCGCGCUGAGACACGGUACAAACAGCGACCCCUGUUGGACGACGACGGUGUUGGCAGGAAGAGUCUUGGGGGCCGUCUUGGCCCCUUUGAGCUGCUUACGGAAUACCACAGACUGGGUGGCUGACAAAUAACAGAAGUUUAUUCCUGACAGUUUUGGAGGCUGGAGGUCCAAACUCAAGAUGCUAGCAGAUUCAGGGUCUGUGCUGCGGGAUCCCCGAGCUGUGCUCACCGUGUGGUUCGUGGCAGCCUCACCCAAACCUUCAGGAAUAACUAUGUGAGUGUUCCAAUGUUCUCAGUGGGAAGGCUCAUGCACUUGAAACAGGAAGUAACCUGUCCAAGAAUACUCAGUGGACAAAGGCCAG
ensembl:lncRNA